AACGAACGCUGGCGGCGUGGAUUAGGCAUGCAAGUCGUACGCGAAAGAGGGAGCAAUCCCUUGAGUAGAGUGGCGAACGGGUGAGUAACGCGUGAGAAACCUGCCUUUGACAGGGGGAUAACACUCCCAACGGGGUGCUAAUACCGCAUGAGACCACGGGAUCGCAUGAUCCUGAGGUCAAAGAUGGCCUCUAUUUAUAAGCUAUCGGUCGAAGAUGGUCUCGCGUCCCAUUAGCUUGUUGGCGGUGUAAAAGACCACCAAGGCGACGAUGGGUAGCUGGUCUGAGAGGAUGGUCAGCCACACUGGGACUGAGAUACGGCCCAGACUCCUACGGGAGGCAGCAGUCGAGAGGCUUCGGCAAUGGGGGAAACCCUGACCGAGCGACGCCGCGUGGAGGAUGAAGGCCCUUGGGUUGUAAACUCCUUUUAUUCGGGAAGAAGUGCGAUCAGGUGAAUAAUCUGGUCGUUUGACGGUACCGGAUGAAUAAGCUCCGGCUAACUCCG
rnacentral:rRNA from 1 species